rnacentral:rRNA from 2 species
GCUUAGCCUUAAACCCAGAUGUAUCAUUACACACACAUCCGCCCGGGUACUACGAGCACAGCUUAAAACCCAAAGGACUUGGCGGUGUCUCAGACCCACCUAGAGGAGCCUGUUCUAGAACCGAUAAUCCUCGUUAAACCUCACCACUUCUUGUCCUAUCCGCCUAUAUACCGCCGUCGUCAGCUUACCUUGUGAAAGCCCCAACAGUAAGCAAAAUUGGCAAGUCCAAAAACGUCAGGUCGAGGUGUAGCGUACGAAGUGGGAAGAAAUGGGCUACAUUUUCUAAUAAUAGAUUAUUACGAAUGGCACCCUGAAAUAAGUGCCUAAAGGUGGAUUUAGCAGUAAAAAGUAAACAGAGAGUUCUUUUGAACCAGGCUCUGAGACGCGC